rnacentral:rRNA from 2 species
UAUACUGCAGUCGAGCGGACAGAUGGGAGCUUGCUCCCUGAUGUUAGCGGCGGACGGGUGAGUAACACGUGGGUAACCUGCCUGUAAGACUGGGAUAACUCCGGGAAACCGGGGCUAAUACCGGAUGGUUGUUUGAACCGCAUGGUUCAAACAUAAAAGGUGGCUUCGGCUACCACUUACAGAUGGACCCGCGGCGCAUUAGCUAGUUGGUGAGGUAACGGCUCACCAAGGCAACGAUGCGUAGCCGACCUGAGAGGGUGAUCGGCCACACUGGGACUGAGACACGGCCCAGACUCCUACGGGAGGCAGCAGUAGGGAAUCUUCCGCAAUGGACGAAAGUCUGACGGAGCAACGCCGCGUGAGUGAUGAAGGUUUUCGGAUCGUAAAGCUCUGUUGUUAGGGAAGAACAAGUACCGUUCGAAUAGGGCGGUACCUUGACGGUACCUAACCAGAAAGCCACGGCUAACUACGUGCCAGCAGCCGCGGUAAUACGUAGGUGGCAAGCGUUGUCCGGAAUUAUUGGGCGUAAGGGCUCGCAGGCGGUUUCUUAAGUCUGAUGUGAAAGCCCCCGGCUCAACCGGGGAGGGUCAUUGGAAACUGGGGAACUUGAGUGCAGAAGAGGAGAGUGGAAUUCCACGUGUAGCGGUGAAAUGCGUAGAGAUGUGGAGGAACACCAGUGGCGAAGGCGACUCUCUGGUCUGUAACUGACGCUGAGGAGCGAAAGCGUGGGGAGCGAACAGGAUUAGAUACCCUGGUAGUCCACGCCGUAAACGAUGAGUGCUAAGUGUUAGGGGGUUUCCGCCCCUUAGUGCUGCAGCUAACGCAUUAAGCACUCCGCCUGGGGAGUACGGUCGCAAGACUGAAACUCAAAGGAAUUGACGGGGGCCCGCACAAGCGGUGGAGCAUGUGGUUUAAUUCGAAGCAACGCGAAGAACCUUACCAGGUCUUGACAUCCUCUGACAAUCCUAGAGAUAGGACGUCCCCUUCGGGGGCAGAGUGACAGGUGGUGCAUGGUUGUCGUCAGCUCGUGUCGUGAGAUGUUGGGUUAAGUCCCGCAACGAGCGCAACCCUUGAUCUUAGUUGCCAGCAUUCAGUUGGGCACUCUAAGGUGACUGCCGGUGACAAACCGGAGGAAGGUGGGGAUGACGUCAAAUCAUCAUGCCCCUUAUGACCUGGGCUACACACGUGCUACAAUGGACAGAACAAAGGGCAGCGAAACCGCGAGGUUAAGCCAAUCCCACAAAUCUGUUCUCAGUUCGGAUCGCAGUCUGCAACUCGACUGCGUGAAGCUGGAAUCGCUAGUAAUCGCGGAUCAGCAUG